GCUGGGUGUGGUGGAGCACCCCUGUAAUCCCAGCUACUUGGGAGGCUGAGGUGGGAGAAUUGCUUGAACCCAGGAGGCAGAGGCUGCAGUGAGCUGAGAUGGCACCACUGCAUUCCAGCCUGGGCUACAGAGCAAGACCCUAUCUCAA
ensembl:misc_RNA Metazoa_SRP Metazoan signal recognition particle RNA